CACUGUCCGCUGCAAUCAGCAGAAUCUAAAAUUGUUGUUAUUAUGAAAUUAGUGAUUAAAUUGUGACAUAAAAAUAAAUUAGCGAGUCAUCCGUCUGGGGGGUAAUUCCGGGUGUGGAUGAAAAAAAGGCAGAAGUAAACACUGAAAACAAUUUAUUUCUACUUAUGUACAGUAUCUACAAGAUCUAAAAAACCGCUAACACUUAUAUGAGAGUGAUGAGAUACAAUUGUGACUUAAAUAAUACAAGUAACUAUUCCAUGAUCCACAACGAACGCCAAUGCCGUGCAAAUUACCAUCCAUGACCCCAUUUGAGUCCCACAUUCUUGGUGGGUCCCCAAAGGCCAUCGGCUUUAAUUUUUCCGGAAGGUCCAGCCACGAUAACGGGGGCGGUUGGGGGUCCUCUGAUGGCAGCCCCGUGUUCGCUGACUCCAAUGGUACCACCUCCUUUGGUGAUGACUCCAAGACUGUGUUCCACGGCAAUAGGGGCGGCCAACACUAUACCAUGGCCCCAACCCUCGCCCAGUCCUCGACCACCUUCCAAACCCUCACCCUCACCACCCUCCCAACCA